CCGAGUUUACAACUCCCAAACCCCUGUGAACAUACCACUUGUUGCCUCGGCGGAUCAGCCCGCUCCCGUAAAACGGGACGGCCCGCCAGAGGACCCCUAAACUCUGUUUCUAUAUGUAACUUCUGAGUAAAACCAUAAAUAAAUCA
rnacentral:misc_RNA from 1 species